rnacentral:rRNA from 1 species
GACGAACGCUGGCGGCGUGCUUAACACAUGCAAGUCGAACGAAGUGGCGAACGGGUGAGUAACGCGUAAUCAACCUGCCCUUCAGAGGGGGACAACAGUUGGAAACGACUGCUAAUACCGCAAACUGAAGGAGGGGAUUGCGUCUGAUUAGCUAGUUGGAGGGGUAACGGCCCACCAAGGCGAUGAUCAGUAGCCGGUCUGGGGAGGUUAACCGCCACAUUGGUACUGGGGAACGGCCCAGACUCCUACGGGAGGCAGCAGUGGGGAAUCUUCCGCAAUGGGCGCAAGUCUGACGAAGCAACGCCGCGUGGGUGAUGACGGCCUUCGGGUUGUAAAGCUCUGUUAAUCGGGACGCGGUACCGGAAUAGAAAGCCACGGCUAACUACGUGCCAGCAGCCGCGGUAAUAC